GAUGAACGCUAGCGGCAGGCCUAAUACAUGCAAGUCGAACGGUGUCUUCGGACAUAGUGGCGCACGGGUGCGUAACACGUAUGCAACCUACCUUACAUUGGGGGAUAGCCUUUCGAAAGGGAGAUUAAUACCGCAUAAGACAGUAGCUGGGCAUCCAGCAGCUGUUAAAGAUUUAUCGAUGUAAGCUGGGCAUGCGUCCAAUUAGAUAGUUGGUGAGGUAACGGCUCACCAAGGCAAUGAUUGGUAGGGGAACUGAGAGGUCAAUCCCCCACACUGGCGCUGAGAUACGGGCCAGAAUCCUACGGGAGGAGGCAGUAGGGAAUAUUGGGCGAUGGACUAAAGUCUGACCCGCCCAUGCCGCGUGCAGGAUGAAGGCGUUAUGCGUUGUAAACUGCUUUUAUACAGGAAGAAACGACUCUUGCGAGAGGCAUUGACGGUACUGUAUGAAUAAGCACCGGCUAACUCCGUGCCAGCCGCCGCCGUAAUAC
rnacentral:rRNA from 1 species